GUGCUCCAUUUGGCAGCACAUAUACUAAAAUUGGAAUUAUACGGAGAAGAUUAGCAUGGCCCCUGAGCAAGGAUGACACUCAAAUUUGUGAAGCGUUCCAUAUUUUU
ensembl:snRNA U6 U6 spliceosomal RNA